GGGCGGGGCCUACGGGAGGCAGCAGUGGGGAAUAUUGGACAAUGGGUGAGAGCCUGAUCCAGCCAUCCCGCGUGAAGGACGACGGCCCUAUGGGUUGUAAACUUCUUUUGUAUAGGGAUAAACCUACUCUCGUGAGAGUAGCUGAAGGUACUAUACGAAUAAGCACCGGCUAACUCCGUG
rnacentral:rRNA from 1 species